GAGGCUUCCGGACUGGCCCAGAGGAGUCGGCAACGACACCUCAGGGCCGGAAAGCUAUCCAAACUCGGUCAUUUAGAGGAAGUAAAAGUCGUAACAAGGUCUCCGUAGGUGAACCUGCGGAGGGAUCAUUA
rnacentral:rRNA from 1 species